CUUUUCAUCCUUUUGUAAAUCAAAGAGUAAAACAAAUGGAGAAGAUAGAGAAAAUAACAUUAAUGACUUCAUCUUAUGACCCUUUUGUCUGUGACAUUAAAGGAAGACUGAAGACAACUGGUCUAGUGGCUGGACUUCAGAUGAUUAAAAAUACUUUGCAAGAAAUAAGCUUGGAUUUGCAAACCAACAACAAGAUAACUUCCUUUGAUCAUCACCAGCCAAGGUGGAUGCUGCUGUGUGUAGCUCUGGAUGCUGGCUGUCACGCUUGUGAAGCAGAGAGCCCCACAGAAGGCAAUGUGGAACUCGCCGCAUACAAGGGGAUGCAAAAUCAUGAUAGCAACCACUUGUGGAGCACAUUCUACGGCAGAGGCUUUAGCUAGAUCAAUCUUCCUUCCUCCUCAGAACAACCCUAGAGUAGAUACCAUCACUGUCAUCGCCAUUUUAUUCACGGAAGCUAAGUUUUGAACUUAAAGUGUCUGUCUCCAGGGCCCAUUCCCAUCAAAACCACGUCAGAAGCCUGGCCCAAAUCUGCAGCUUCCGUCAAGGCCCGUUACCUGCUGUCAAGCCCCAAGAUUAAAUGACUCAUCCUCCACCAAGCUUGCCCUGAGCAACAGGAGAUCUUUCCAUUAUUUUAAAUCCUCCCCACACACUGCAUCUUCUCUCUGUCUCGUUUUCAUCAUUAUCUCAGAUCCCUCUGAAGCCACACUCUUUACACUGGAAACCCCUUGCGGGUUCUCAACCUGGCUGUGCCACUCGGGAGCGGGUGGUCCCAGGCCAGUUACUUUGAGAAUGGAAAUGUGACUUUGGCCUGUUGCUGUGGGUGUGUGUGGUCUUCAAAAUGCUGUGUAACUCCGGUCCACAGGGCCCUAGACACUCAGAAGGGUCAAGAGCUAUAAAGGUCCCAGGUGCCUGCACCAACUCAAAUGAUUGGUAUUUUGGUUAUAAGAAAACAAUGGGUGCGAAUGUUCUUUAUAAAAGCAUUCCAAGCAUUUCUGUUUUGAUUUCUGUGUCUCUUAGCUGUCUCAAAGCCUAUCUUAGUCUCGUAUAUGUAGUAUAUCUCUGAAUUAAUGGGUGAAUGAAUGAAUACUCACCUGGUCCUUUUCCCCAGCUUCCUACAGGGGAAUGGCAAAACCAAUAAUUCCCCAUUUUGGUAGAAUGAUCAAAUCCUGGGCCAUCUCUGUUUCCUUGGUAGGAAGAGGCUUAUGAACUUCAGCAGUUCCUAAACUGUACUUGCCUUUGAUCCAUGUAUUUGCACACCCAGUGCUAGGUCACAGGUGUCUUCAGACAGAUGGAGACCGGGUCCUUGCCCAAAGGAGCUGGGUCGGGCCAGGUGACCCUUAGCUUUCUUGGGCCACCUGGCUCAGGUGAGCUGAUAGGUGGUGUGCUCCGCUCUGUGCAGCCCCAGUAACGGCCUGGCUCCCCGACAGCUCUGCGUGGCCCUUCUUCCCCCAGGAAAGCAGCGUCUCCCUGAGCUUCCGUUGCUCGGAGCCGGUCUACCUGCCCGACACCCAGAGGCAGGUUCGGAAGUUCGGAACGUUCUUUUUGUCCUUCUGUUCCGUCUUCCGUCGCUACCGUGCCGACAGCUGCGGGAACACAUGGCGCUGGCUUGGCAGCUGCGGCGCACAGAUGCUGAGCUCUGUAAUGUCCUCCCUCUGCCGCUGCUCCGCAGCCUGUCUCUGGCUGCUGCCUGGGGGAGGGUGCGCUACGAGGCGCGAGUGGAGUGUGACGCCUGGGGGACUGCGCGCUGAGCAGGCAGGGUCUCUGAUUUUCUCAAGGGUGAGAAUUAGAUGUUGUUCAACUCUGUGUCCCCACCAUGGAGCAGGAAGUCAGGAAAUGUUAGCAGUGGCACCCAGAGCAAGUGUCCACCUGGAAAUGCUGCCAGGUCCAGGACCUCAAAGCACAUACGCCAAGCAAGGGCUCUGCCCCUGGACCGCAUCGCUGGGGACUGUUGUAGACAGCUGUUAAUAGUCACCCGCUGUCCAUGCAGCUGAUAUUCUGGUUUAAGAACCAGAACUACUGAGCUGAGCACCAGGAACCACGUCUCCUACUACCAGAGUCUUGUACGCAUUCCUCAUGAAGCUGCUUUUUCUGAUUACAACAUCUCACUGGGCCUCUUUGCAGUUUUCUGAGUCAUAAAACCAUUGAUUCUUCUAAAUGAUCCACGAAGGAACUUCUGGUCUUGAUUUGCUUUCUCAUGUGAGUAGCAGCACCCAGAUGCUGCCGUUUGUACGAUCAAGAAGCAAAUGUGCCUAUGGGAGGGGCACUGGGCGAGGCACUGGAAGACCCAGCUUCCCGUCUGGAUCAGCCACUUGCUGGACAACAGAGGUAUUUACCUGUGCUGGGCAACAGAGUGGGAGCUAAGAAUGGCCGGGAGUACAGCGAGGAGCAGAGGAGACCAUGGCAUUUAUAGUCACCAAACCCUGAGCGCUCACUGCGUUUCCUGCCAUUCUAAUACAAUCUAGGAAGCACUUUUGAAUUGAAGAUUGUGGUGUUCCUAUGAGUUUGGACCACGUGAGCCAGUUUUGCUACACUCAGGCUGAAUACUCGGAUUCCAGAGCUGGGGCCCCAAACCCUGUGUGGCAGAGAACAGACGCCCCUGUCCUCCCUCUCAGGCCUCACCUGGCUUUUGGCCUCCCUCUUCCCACGAUCACAUGAACAGCAGGUCUGUUCAGAGUUGCUCCUGAAUGCGAAAGCCAGCAAAGGCCAAGAGGCCACACUGAAGCCCCUGAGAAUCUCUGCAGAGCCGGGUCCCUACGAAGCCAGUUGUUUGCAGCAGUGGGGUGUUGGGAAGGCUCCGGACUCCACGGGAGGAGAAACGUUUCUGUGCAGUAAAGAAGGCGAUGAAAGGGUCUCCCUGAUUCUGUGCUCCGGGAGAUGCUCUGCCCCUUCUGCCUCCCGAGGCCAUUGUGGAAGAACAUCAAGGAGCACAGACAAAGCGAGGACCCCAGUGUGGGACGCAGGCUGGCUGACACACGCCAGCAGAGGUGUCGGCACGCUGGAGGACCCGAGGGAGGGGACCCCGAACUCCAGGAGCAGCUGGUCCUUCCUCAGCAGUGCCCCUGCGGUGCUCAGAAGAGCCCCAGUGAGAACCUGCUUGUCCUGGAGGAGAGGGAAUUGAAAAGACACCUCACCCCGAGGACUCCCGGCUUGUGGUGGAAAAUUCUCUCUGAAACCGGAAGCAGCUAUAGAAUCAGCAGCAGAGCCUCCAGAAGCACCGAGUCCAGUGGUUACCAGAUGAAGCUCCCAUCUUGUACUACAUCUUGAAAGCACAGGUGUGCUGCCCCAGAACUUCAGGAAGUAGUGCAGAUGUUUCUUUGUCAUUAGCAUCACCCUGGUAACAUAAUUAGCAUGUACAGUUAAAGGUGAAGAGUAAUCUUGAAGACAUCAAAUAGUCCUUUUCACAGUGGGAGGCAAGCGGUCGGCUAGGUGGUUCAGAAAAGACUGCCGAACCACUCUGCAUGUUUGAGCUAAUGAGGAGGUCAGGGGUCCGGCAUCAGAAGCAGUUGGUGACGCCACGGAAUGUGACUAUAGACUGUACCCUGUUCACUGCUGCUCUCUCGCAAAGGACACAAAGUUUGCCAAUGUGAUAUCCAAAUGCAACAUGCUAAAAUGAUGAUCACUUAUGUGAAAGCUUGCUCAUAAAUACUACUACACAAAUAUUUAUUGCAGCUUGGAUCAUAAUAACCUUUGCUUUUGUUGCAUUGUGCUUUGUUUGGGAUUUGUUGGCUUCAUUUAAAAAUAAUAAUAAUUCAUUCUUGGCAGGAGCGUGAAUCUGAGGGUUUUGGCAAAUGCAAAGAGUCACUAAAGUACCACCACAGUCAUGACCUGGAGUGGUUUCAUCCCCUCUCUUGACCCUAGUCUUCCUCGGUCACCUUUAUGUUCUGCCUCUUCUUUGGUUCCCAAGGCCAGCUAGCCGCUGAUCAGCCUCCUGGGUUUUCCAGUGUGCUCUACCGAGGGACCCGUAUGGCACAUGUGCUUUGCCUUUCAGUGUACAGGGCGGUGUGACCUCUCCGCUGAAGGUAUCGGUGGUUUGCUCUUUCUCGCUGCUGAGCGGUGACCCCUGGGCAUUGCCACAGCUUGGUGAAGUUCACUCAGUUGUGUUCCAUUUGGGGCUGGGAUGAUAAAGCUGUGAUGAGCACCAGUGAAAGAUUGUAUGCGA